AUUGAACGCUGGCGGCAUGCCUUACACAUGCAAGUCGAACGGUAACAGGUCUUCGGAUGCUGACGAGUGGCGAACGGGUGAGUAAUACAUCGGAACGUGCCCGAUCGUGGGGGAUAACGGAGCGAAAGCUUUGCUAAUACCGCAUACGAUCUACGGAUGAAAGCAGGGGACCGCAAGGCCUUGCGCGGACGGAGCGGCCGAUGGCAGAUUAGGUAGUUGGUGGAUAAAAGCUUACCAAGCCGACGAUCUGUAGCUGGUCUGAGAGGACGACCAGCCACACUGGGACUGAGACACGGCCCAGACUCCUACGGGAGGCAGCAGUGGGGAAUUUUGGACAAUGGGCGAAAGCCUGAUCCAGCCAUGCCGCGUGCAGGAUGAAGGCCUUCGGGUUGUAAACUGCUUUUGUACGGAACGAAAAGACUCCUUCUAAUAAAGGGGGUUCAUGACGGUACCGUAAGAAUAAGCACCGGCUAACUACGUG
rnacentral:rRNA from 1 species